rnacentral:rRNA from 2 species
CCUGGGGAGUACGACCGCAAGGUUGAAACUCAAAGGAAUUGACGGGGGCCCGCACAAGCGGUGGAGCAUGUGGUUUAAUUCGAAGCAACGCGAAGAACCUUACCAGGUCUUGACAUCUUUUGAUCACCUGAGAGAUCAGGUUUCCCCUUCGGGGGCAAAAUGACAGGUGGUGCAUGGUUGUCGUCAGCUCGUGUCGUGAGAUGUUGGGUUAAGUCCCGCAACGAGCGCAACCCUUAUGACUAGUUGCCAGCAUUUAGUUGGGCACUCUAGUAAGACUGCCGGUGACAAACCGGAGGAAGGUGGGGAUGACGUCAAAUCAUCAUGCCCCUUAUGACCUGGGCUACACACGUGCUACAAUGGAUGGUACAACGAGUUGCGAGACCGCGAGGUCAAGCUAAUCUCUUAAAGCCAUUCUCAGUUCGGACUGUAGGCUGCAACUCGCCUACACGAAGUCGGAAUCGCUAGUAAUCGCGGAUCAGCACGCCGCGGUGAAUACGUUCCCGGGCCUUGUACACACCGCCCGUCACACCAUGAGAGUUUGUAACACCCGAAGCCGGUGGCGUAACCCU